UUAAAUAAAAUUGUUUUGAAAUUGAGAGUGGGGGGGGGAAAGAAGGCAAGAAUAAAACUAAAACUAUUGUAAGAUGUUAGAAUAAGAGGAGGUUUUGCCCUGCCUAAUUGGGAAUUAUAUUAUCAAGUGACAACUUUGAUGUGGGUCAAGGAAUGGAUAACACUAAAAAUACUAGAUUAUUGACACUAGAAGGACAUGAUUUGUUGUUGGGUUGGCAUGC